rnacentral:tRNA from 1 species
GCCGUGGUGGUGUAACUGGUAACACGCCUCUCGCCAUGAGAGGAGAUUUGGGUUCGAAUCCCAGCCUCGGCA